rnacentral:rRNA from 1 species
AUUGAACGCUGGCGGCAGGCCUAACACAUGCAAGUCGAACGGUAACAGGAAGAAGCUUGCUUCUUUGCUGACGAGUGGCGGACGGGUGAGUAAUGUCUGGGAAACUGCCUGAUGGAGGGGGAUAACUACUGGAAACGGUAGCUAAUACCGCAUAACGUCGCAAGACCAAAGAGGGGGACCUUCGGGCCUCUUGCCAUCGGAUGUGCCCAGAUGGGAUUAGCUAGUAGGUGGGGUAACGGCUCACCUAGGCGACGAUCCCUAGCUGGUCUGAGAGGAUGACCAGCCACACUGGAACUGAGACACGGUCCAGACUCCUACGGGAGCAGCAGUGGGGAAUAUUGCACAAUGGGCGCAAGCCUGAUGCAGCCAUGCCGCGUGUAUGAAGAAGGCCUUCGGGUUGUAAAGUACUUUCAGCGGGGAGGAAGGGAGUAAAGUUAAUAACCUUUGCUCAUUGACGUUACCGCAGAAGAAGCACCGGCUAACUCCGUGCCAGCC